ensembl:lncRNA
CCAUUGCUUCAAGUCAUCCCAUUUCUGGCCCUCCUCUUUUCCAUCACUUGGGGAAGGAGAAUACUUUUGUCUAGAGAACACUUUUUCAUUUUUAUUCGUGUUCUUGGAUCUUAGGUCUGUAGUGAGAGGAUAUAUCUCUGUUUUUUGAGGGCUGAGAUUCUGCCUUUUCUCUGCCUUGGUUGGAUUUCGGGACUCAGGCUCCAGGCUGCUGUUUCAAUUGCCUGUGCUGCAGUGCCUGUUAGGUUACUUUGUCUGCCAAAUUAAAACUUGACCUUUUAUGAGUUCUCUGAGGAUUUUUAUCACACAUAAAUGGAAUUACCUUUGAAGGGGGUAAUGUAGUCAAGGCAGUGCUGGCAGGGUUUUGAGUGUCCACUCUGUGUGAGAAACAAAAUUUCUACUUAGAAAAUCAGACUUAAAGUCAAUAGAAUGCCAGGUAACCAUUUAUUUUAUGUCUUUAAUAUAAAAUAUCUCAGGACCUAUGUUACCUCAUGAAAAUAAAGUAUUAAUUCAAAUUUGGCAUUCUGUAGUAAGCCUUGAAGAACUAAGUUAGUUUCAGGGCUGUGUACUUAAGAGUACAACCAGCAGGUGUCUACUGGUUCUUAUUUAUUUAUUUAUUUAUUUUUAAUUUAGGGCCGUGUCUACUAAUAUGGUGGUUUCCAGGCUAGGGGUCAAAUCAGUUUCUGCUGCCAGCCUAUACCACAGCCACAGCAACACCAGAUCAAGCCACAAUGGGAACUCCUACAGUUCUUGUUUUGGGAUACCUAGGUCCUGUAAUUUUGGAUGCCUUGUUUCAGGUUUUCUCAAUGAUACUGUAUUUUAUUUAUUUAUUUAUUUAAUUUAUAUUUCUUUCUAAAUCGCCUUUAUUGAUGUAUGGUUUUCAUAUAAUAAACUGGAUAGCUGUUCCAUGCAGAAUUGGACGAGUUUGAAAAAAAUAUAUAUAUAUAUACAGAUCUUCCUUCUUAUUUAUUUCUUCUUUUUUUUUUGGCCUAUGCCGCAGCCACAGUAUUGUGGGAUCCCAGCCACAUCUGCGACCUACACCACAGCUCACAGCUGUGGCUGAUCCUUAACCCACUGAGUGAGGCCAGAGAUUGAACCCUCAUCCUCAUGGAUCCUAGUCGUCUUUGUUAACCACUGAGCCCUGAAGGGAACUCCCCUCUUAUUUAUUUCUAAUUAUGCAAACAUGAGGGCUGUGGCAUCUAGUUGUGCAGGAUGUAUACUGCUAACUGUAGGGGUGCCAUUCACAUCCGGGUCCCUGAGCAUGGUCCCUCCUGGGGUUAUAUGGUGCAGCCUGUGGCUGUGUACUGCAGCCCUGCAAGUGGCUCAUGAAUGCACGCUCUCUUAGAAAAUGCUCGAACAGUACAGACAGACUAAAGGCCCCCUUGACCCACUCCUUUCUCCACCAAAACUGCGAUUACCAGUUUGUUGUGAUCCUGUCAGACCCUUCUCUCUAGGUUUUCAUCUGUAUGUAGGUAACGCAGACAAAAGUAGGAUUUCCUGCCAGGCCCCCAUUAAUGACAUGAUACUGUACACCUUGUUCUGCAGCUUUUUUCUGACAGAAUGUCUAAGGUCUUUCCAUGAUGGAACAUAAAGAUCUACCUGAUUCUUGACGACUGCCCAAUCCCUUAUGUAGUACGUACUGGACUGCGGUUUAUUAAUCCUCUCAUUAAGGGUCAUUAAAGCUGUUUGCCGUUUCACACGUUGCUGCAGCGAGUGAAAAGUACAGCUGCUAGGUCUAAGGGGUGCCCGAUUGAAAUUAGUCAGUGAAGACUUAACCAUGUUGCCCUUUGUGGAUCUGGUUCAUUUAUUUUUAAAUGCUGAGUACUGUUCAGUUGUGGACUUCAAUCACUCUUUAUGUAUCUUUCACUCACUGAGUAUGACCAAAAUGCGUAGGUAGUACAGGAAGUUCCUAUAACCCCUCUUCUUCAUAGAGACUCUCCCACUGUUAACAUCUUACAUUAGUGCAGUACAUUUGUUAUAACUGAUGAAGAUAUAGUGACACUUUUUUUUUUUGGCUUUUUAGGUCCCACUUUCAGCACAUGGAGGUUCCCAGGCUAGGGGAUGAAUCAGAGCUGCAGCUGCCAGCCUAUACCACAGCCACAGCAAUUCUGGAUCCAAGCCGUAUCUGUGUCCUACACUGCAGCUCAUGGCAAUACCGAAUGCUUAACUCAUUCAGUGAGGCCUGGGAUCGAACCAGCAUCCUCAUGGAGAGGAUGUGGGGUUCUUAACCAGCUGAGCCACAGUGGGAAGUCCUGCAUUUUGUAUAUCAUCCUUACCCCUGAUUUCAUCUUUUUCCUACUCUCAUUUUCCUUUGGUCCUAAUUUGUUUUUCUUACUUGAAUUUUGUUUUAAUGUAUAUAUUUCUGUAGGCCUCCUCAACCCUCUCUUUAAUAUAAUGGGAUAUAAAAAUCCCUCCCCCUUUUUUUUUUUUUUUGACUUUUAUCUUUUUAGGGCCGUACCCUUGGCAUAUGGAGGUUGCCAGGCUAGGGGUCUAGUUGAAGCUGUAGCCACUGGCCUGCGCCACAGCCAUAGCAAUGCCAGAUCUGAGCCACGUCUGCGGCUUAUACCACAGCUCACCGCAAUGCCGGAUCCUUAACCCACUGAGAGAGGCCAGGGAUCGAACCCGCAACCUCAUGGUUCCUAGUCGGAUUUGUUUCCACUGUGCUACAAUGGGAACUUCAUACCCCUAAAAUCCCUUAAUGCUGUGGUUACUCAUCAUCCAAGUCCCCACAGUUGCAAGAUUGUAAAUGAAAGCAACACAUUUCACAGUAACAGUCUAGAAAAUCGUUCUUAAGUGGUUUAGAGCAGACUCAAUGUAGAGUCUAUGAUAUAAGCAGAAAUAUAUGUAACUACUCAAAGGACUCCAGACCCAGCCCGUUUCUCUCUUGACUAGCGAUUUCUGAAAUUCAUUUUUCUGGUAAAAAUGAAUUUUAUGCUUAUUUAUUUAUGGGAAUGAAAAAUCCCAAGAAACAAAUAAAAGUUGUUUGUGCUGCAGCUCAUGGCAAUGCCAUAUCCUUAACCCACUGAGAGAGGCCAGGGAGUGAACCUGCAUCCUCGUGGAUACUAAUUGCGCUCAUUACCACUGAGCUAAAGCAGGAACUCCUUGAUACAUUAUUAUUAAUUUAAGUUCAUAGUUUAUGUUAGGCUUCACUCUUUGUGUUGUAAGUGGGUGUUGUGUUCUAUAGGUUUUGACAAAUGCAAAAUGUUACUACAUGACAUUUCAUGUAAUGUCAUUGCAGUGUAAUACAGAAUAAUUUCAUAGCCCUAAAAUCCCCUGUAUUCUACCCAUUCAUUUCUCUCUCCUACUGAGCUCCUGGUGACCACUGAUCAUUUUACUGUGUCUAUAGUUUUGCCUUUUUCAGAAUGUCAUAUAGUUUGGAUCAUACAGUAUUGUAGCCUUUCAGACUGGUCUCUUUCACUUAGCAUUAUGCUUUUAAGUAUCCUCUGUGUCUUUUCUUGGCUUGAUCACUCAUUUCUUUUUAUUGCUGAAAAAUAUUUCAUUGUUGGAGUUCCUGUCGUGGCGUAGUGGUUAACGAAUCUGACUAGGAACCAUGAGGUUGCAGGUUCGAUCCCUGGCUUUGCUCAGUCGGUUAAGGAUCUGGCGUUGCUGUGAGCUGUGGUGUAGGUUGCAGACGCGGCUCAGAUCCUGAGUUGCUGUGGCUCUGGCUAGGCUGGUGGCUACAGCUCCAAUUAGACCCCUAGCCUGGGAAUCUCCACAUGCCGAAGGAGCGGCCCUAGAAAAGGCAAAAAGAAAAAAAAAAAAAUUUCAUUGUAUGAAAGUACCACAGUUUGUUUAUCCAUUCAUCUGUUGAGGGACAUCUUGGUUACUUCUAGGUUUGGGUAGUUAUGCAUAAAGUUUCUAUAAAUAUUCAUGUAGGUAAAUAUUCUUGUAGAUAAGCACCUAGGAGCAGGAUUGCUGGAUCAUAUGGUACGAGUAUGUUUAGCUUUGUAAGGAACUGCCUGUCUUCCAGAGUGUGGAUUAAGGAUCCGGUGUUGCCGGGAGCUGUGGUGUAGGUCGCAGAUGAGGCUUGGAUCCCCCAUUGCUGUGGCUGUGGCGUAGGCCGGUGGCUACAGCUCCGAUUGGACCCCUAGCCUGGGAACCUCCCUAUGCGGAGGGAACGGCCCAAGAAAUGGCAAAAAGACAAAAAAAAAAAAAAAAAAAAAAAAAAAAAA